UACGUAGGGUCCGAGCGUUUGUCCGGAAUUACUGGCGUAAAGAGCUCGUAGGUGGUUUGUCGCGUUGUUCGUGAAAACUCACAGCUUAACUGUGGGCGUGCGGGCGAUACGGGGCAGGCUAGAGUUCGGUAGGGGGAGACUGGAAUUCCUGGUGUAGCGGUGAAAUGCGCAGAUAUCAGGAGGAACACCGAUGGCGAAGGCAGGUCUCUGGGCCGACACUGACGUGAGGAGCGAAAAGCGUGGGGGAGCGAACAGG
rnacentral:rRNA from 1 species